AACUAGUUAAAAUGGUGAACUUUUAAGAUUGCAAAUACAUAUUUGAAAGGUUGCAUUACAACACAUAUUGAUAUGCUGCUAAAAUUGCGACAUGAUAUAUUCAUUGUUUUUCAUAACUAGUCUUCAAUUCUGGAAGGCCGAAGGAAGAAUUUUUUUACGAUAUAUGCUCUUCCAAUCUAUACAUCUAUAUCUAUACGUACUAAUAAAGCAAGAUAAGUGUGGACCUACACCCACAUGGUGGGUCUCUCUAUCUCACAAUGAUAAGUGUGGACCCCACCUGUUAGGAGUAAGCAACUAGAUAAUUUUAGCAAAUAUAAGAACGUUGUUGGUAUCAAGUGGAAACGACACUUCAUUGUAAUGAGAUAGAUGGAGAGCUGACAUGUUGGUCUAUAGGUGUUUUGGUCAUUAUCACAUCACAAACGAGAUAUGAGCUCACAGUAAUGGUGGCUAGUGGCAUUUUUCACCAUGAGCCUAAUGAAGCGAUGUCAUUUUUGAGCAGUUCAAAUUUCUAGUGGGAAAACUGAGUAGUGAGACACAAUCAGUGGCAUAAAUGAUGAAAAUCCUAAAUUCAAAAAUUGUUCAUGUUUUUAUAAAAGGUUUCUAUUUUCAAAAUAUGCUAGUGAAUCUUAAAAAAUGAUCC
rnacentral:lncRNA from 1 species